CUUUCACUGGCUGCGCCGGGGGAUAUUGAGGGCAGGGAUACCCUGCACAGGGAGGACAGGAACAGACUUCCUAGGAUCUGUGCCUGCGAGCCGAUGCUCUGAGAAUGGGAGUUGUUUUCUUGGGUGUCUCGUCUUCUGUCAUCUCUGCUGAAAGAUCUAUGCAAAGAAUUAAAGGAAUAAGAAAAAGCUGAGUCACAAAGAUGGUGAAAAAAUAGAUAUCAGAGAACAAGUGAGACAAUCCCACACCGCACAGAAGAAAUAAAAUCCAAGCUGUACAGGAGAGGCCCUUCUGCGGCAGUGGGGCAGAGCAUCUACACUCAGGCCCCCGCAGCAGGUCCUAUGGAAACCAGCCCUCUGCACCCUAGCUGUGUGCCUUCUCGGCCGGGAACAGGCGGGAGCAUCAUACCUUCCUCACUGGACUCAUCACUUGAGAAGACAACUUUGGGUUUCUUUUUGGAAGCUCGCUGCUGGGUGUUUGGAUGCCGACGGGUAGUACGGCGGGGCUCUGGUGUGACAAAGUCAUUGUCUGAGGCUGUAGAAGCCAGAGGCUGGUACCUAGAACCUAGAAAAGGCAGGAAAACGUGAUUUAAAAAAGAAGAAGAAACAAAUCACUGCAGGAGGGGAGGGCCCAGUCUGGUCUCGCCCGCACAGGCUGCCUUACGUACCAGUGGAUGGUUUCUUGGCUGAUGGCGCUCUCUGGCUACCUGCUUGGCCAAUCUCAAGCUCCUUGAUUCCAUCCAAACCUCUGGUAUGACAGGCCCGAAGCUUCUGCUCAAAUUCAUCUAUUAUAGCCUGGAGGGAGAAAAGGAGAUUCAGAGCAGGCCUGAAAACAGUUACUUCUGAUUAAAAAGAAACAAGGCCAUGGAAGACAUGGAGGCCUUAAACGCACAUUACUAAGAAGCCAAGGUGAGAAGGCUCCAUACCGGAUCAUUCCAAUGAUACAUUCUGGAAAAGACAAAGUGAUGGCAACAGUAAAAAGAUCAGGGGUUGUGGGGAGAGAGGGAUAAAUAGGUGGAGUGCAGGGGAUUUGUAAGGCAGUGAAACUCUUCUGUAUGAUACUGCAAUGGUGGGUACAUGUCAUUACGUGCAGUGAACUCCAAGGUAAACCAUGACUUUAGGAGAUGAUGUGUAAGUGUAGGUUCAGCUGUAACAAAUGUGCCACCCUGGUGCAGGAUGUUGAAGGUGGGGAAGGCUGUGAUGUGUAGGGGCAAGGGGUAGAAGGGAACUCCCUGUACUUUCUGCUCAAUUUUGCUUUGAACCUAAAACUGCUCUGAAAAAUAAAAACUAUUAAAAACAAAC
rnacentral:lncRNA from 1 species